GCUGAAGUGGCGGAAAGGUAGACGCACAGGAUUUAAAAUCCUGUGGUAGCAAUGCCGUGCGGGUUCAAGUCCCGCUUUCAGCACCA
rnacentral:tRNA from 1 species